rnacentral:rRNA from 1 species
GGGGAAUAUUGCACAAUGGGCGCAAGCCUGAUGCAGCAACGCCGCGUGAGGGACGACGGCCUUCGGGUUGUAAACCUCUUUUAGUAGGGAAGAAGCGAAAGUGACGGUACCUGCAGAAAAAGCACCGGCUAACUACGUGCCAGCAGCCGCGGUAAUACGUAGGGUGGAAGCGUUGUCCGGAAUUAUUGGGCGUAAAGAGCUCGUAGGCGGUUGGUCGCGUCUGCUGGGUAAUUCCGUGGCUCAACCUC